rnacentral:rRNA from 1 species
GAUGAACGCUGGCGGCGUGCCUAAUACAUGCAAGUCGAGCGAACAGACGAGAGUGCUUGCACUCUCUGACGUUAGCGGCGGACGGGUGAGUAACACGUGGGUAACCUACCUAUAAGACUGGGAUAACUUCGGGAAACCGGAGCUAAUACCGGAUAAUAUUUAGCUUCGCAUGACGCAAUAGUGAAAGACGGUUCUGCUGUCACUUAUAGAUGGACCCGCGGUGUAUUAGCUAGUUGGUGAGGUAACGGCUCACCAAGGCAACGAUACAUAGCCGACCUGAGAGGGUGAUCGGCCACACUGGGACUGAGACACGGCCCAGACUCCUACGGGAGGCAGCAGUAGGGAAUCUUCCGCAAUGGACGAAAGUCUGACGGAGCAAUGCCGCGUGAGUGAAGAAGGUCUUCGGAUCGUAAAACUCUGUUGUAAGGGAAGAACAAGUACGUUAGUAACUGAACGUACCUUGACGGUACCUUACCAGAAAGCCACGGCUAACUACGUG